rnacentral:rRNA from 1 species
CCUACGGGUGGCAGCAGUGGGGAAUAUUGGACAAUGGGGGGAACCCUGAUCCAGCCAUGCCGCGUGUGUGAAGAAGGCCCUCGGGUUGCAAAGCACUUUCAGUGAGGAAGAACGCCUGGUGGUUAAUACCCAUCAGGAAAGACAUCACUCACAGAAGAAGCACCGGCUAACUCCGUGCCAGCAGCCGUGGUAAUACGGAGGGUGCGAGCGUUAAUCGGAAUUACUGGGCGUAAAGCGCGCGUAGGUGGCUUGAUAAGCCGGUUGUGAAAGCCCCGGGCUCAACCUGGGAACGGCAUCCGGAACUGUCAAGCUAGAGUGCAGGAGAGGAAGGUAGAAUUCCCGGUGUAGCGGUGAAAUGCGUAGAGAUCGGGAGGAAUACCAGUGGCGAAGGCGGCCUUCUGGACUGACACUGACACUGAGGUGCGAAAGCGUGGGUAGCAAACAGGAUUAGAUACCCCAGUAGUC